GACGAACGCUGGCGGCGUGCUUAACACAUGCAAGUCGAACGGAAAGGCCCUGCUUUUGUGGGGUUCUCGAGUGGCGAACGGGUGCGUAACACGUGAGUAACCUGCCCUUGACUUUGGGAUAACUUCAGGAAACUGGGGCUAAUACCGGAUAGGAGCUCCUGCUGCAUGGUGGGGGUUGGAAAGUUUCGGCGGUUGGGGAUGGACUCGCGGCUUAUCAGCUUGUUGGUGGGGUAGUGGCUUACCAAGGCUUUGACGGGUAGCCGGCCUGAGAGGGUGACCGGCCACAUUGGGACUGAGAGACGGCCCAGACGCCUACGGGAGGCAGCAGUGGGGAAUAUUGCACAAUGGGCGGAAGCCUGAUGCAGCAACGCCGCGUGCGUGAUGACGGCCUUCGGGUUGAAAACCGCUUUCGCCUGUGACGAAGCGUGAGUGACGGUAAUGGGUAAAGAAGCACCGGCUAACUACGUG
rnacentral:rRNA from 1 species